GGAGAGGUGGCUGAGCGGUCGAUAGCGGCGGUCUUGAAAACCGUUGUACCUGAAAGGGUACCGGGGGUUCGAAUCCCUCCCUCUCCGCCA
rnacentral:tRNA from 1 species